rnacentral:rRNA from 1 species
UACCACAGCCAUAUCACCCUGCAGCCAAGACUGGUUGCCCACUGAAGCUAAGCAGGGUUGAGCCUGGUCAGUACCUGGAUGGGAGACCUCUUGGGAAAACUAGGUUGCUGUUGGAA